UAGGUCAAAGGCCAGGAACUUCAGGAGACCGAACGCGUCUUUCUCCUUUGAAGAUUCAGGGUAAGAAGACUCCACAGCCGCCCACGUUCCUUUUGACCACAAGAGUCUGGAUUUAGGGGACUUCUGACCUCAAGGGGAUGGCAGAGACAUAAGACUGAAGGAACCUGGGAACUUGAGUGACCACGUGGGGGAGAGCUGCCUGCCAACGGGGAACAUUAGCUUCCUAAAUUCAACCGUGAUGAAUAGGAGUUCGAGGAGAGCAUUCUAGAUCAAAGGCGGCAUGAGCAAAAGCAAGGAGGAGAGAAACGGCAUGAGAUGUUCUAGCGGAACUGGAAGCAAUGCAGAGUCGCUGGAGGAUACAGCUUCCAAGUGCCUGCCCUGGGGGCCUGAUUCCCACCAUCUUCUGCUGGGACAAGUAGAGAGCUUACUCUUCGCUGGGCUUCGGACAAGAAAAGAAAGCAGCCUUGGUCACCAGUUGCCUAACAUCAUCUUAAGGAUUCCGGUGGUGGAGAAACGAAAAACUCUCUCCCCAAAUUUCUGAGUUUUCCAGUAUUUGAUCAAAGAGCUAUUGUAAUCCAUCACAUUCUGUUUGGAUAAAAUAGCAUAUUUGCACAGGAAAGUACUGUUUUAAGAUCUAGUUUGGUGCAGAAAAGAAAAAUACUACCCAAGUGCAAAGAAAACUGAGUAGGAAUCGCGAAAAGUUAUGUGUCUUGUUACAUGACCAAAUGAGACAAGAAGCUUGUGUUGUUGGGGCAUUAUUUAUUUGCUAUG